CAGUCGCCACGGGAAUACGUAGGGUGCAAGCGUUAAUCGGAAUUACUGGGCGUAAAGCGUGCGCAGGCGGUUAUAUAAGACAGAUGUGAAAUCCCCGGGCUCAACCUGGGAACUGCAUUUGUGACUGUAUAGCUAGAGUACGGCAGAGGGGGAUGGAAUUCCGCGUGUAGCAGUGAAAUGCGUAGAUAUGCGGAGGAACACCGAUGGCGAAGGCAAUCCCCUGGGCCUGUACUGACGCUCAUGCACGAAAGCGUGGGGAGCAAACAGGAUUAGAUACCCGCGUAGUCCCUGUCUCUUAUAU
rnacentral:rRNA from 1 species